rnacentral:tRNA from 1 species
GGCUUGCUGGUCUAGUGGUAUGAUUCUCGCUUUGGGUGCGAGAGGUCACGGGUUCGGUUCCCUUGCAAGCCC